AACUCAACAUACACGUUUCCCUUCGGAGCCAAAAUGUCUACUAUCCUGAGAGACCUUCCCACGUUGAAAAAUAUUGUCUUUAUCGUAUGUGGCUUCACCGCUUUUCUUAUCACUUGUUUGGUUGUUAAAGUGUUCAGGUCUGGAAGAAAGAUAAAGAAGACGCGCAAGUAUGACAUCAUCACAACGCCGGCGGAGCGAGUGGAAAUGGCUCCUUUAAAUGGAGAUAAUAACGAUGAUGAUGAGGAUUCCACUCUCUUUGAUGUGAAAUACAGGUGAAGACGGCUGCGUGAACCCAACUGAGCCACCCCCGCCCCACUCCACUGCUGCGUUCUGGCACAAGACAAAGGAUUUGAGUUUUCUGUUUAUUAUCCUCAACAUUACACUGCUGUAAAGACAAACUCAAAUGCAGUAUCUGUCUUAAAAAAGAAACACAAUUGACAUGAAAUCUGAGGUUGUUCUCCACAGACAGGCAGACGUAUAAUACUAAUGGAACAAAUAGGUUAGGCUGCCUGUAGGUAACCCGGUCAUCAAUAAAAUACUGUCCUACUGGUCCCCUUCAUUAGAAACAAAACAUACACUACAUGCAAAUAAUGCUGCACCAGUAAUUAAAUACCUUUUUUUGUAUUUCAAGCUUCAACACUGAAAAAAAAAAUAGAAUUAUCUUCAGUCUUAAACAGACCUAUUUGAACAAAAAUAAUUGUUUGCAUAGGGGUAUAAAAGUGUGUGUGUGUGUGUGUAUAUAUAUUUAUAUAUAUAUAUAUAUGUGUAUAUAUAUAUAUAUAUAUAUAUAUAUAUAUUAUAGCUUGUUUUGUAGAGAUAUACAAGUGUGAGAAAUGUUAUAACUUAAAGAGUAUGAUAAAUGUUAAAUAUUGUGAUUUGAAUGUGACUUGAUUACUGGGUAUUCUGUUGUAUAGAAUAUUACAUACCUACUAACCACUAACUGUGUGUAUAAAACUGUACAAGGGGCCCCAUGUAGGUUCCUGUAUAGAAGAGAACCGCACUAAGGGGGUCACCAAGUCUGUAUUGUUAGGACUGCGAAUAAUUGGGAUCUAUCUUGUAAAGCUGCUGAUCGUUAGAAUUUCACUAGGAAACUAGAUCUUGAAAUCUUUUUGAAUUAGUACAAGAGAAUGUUGCCUUCUCACGAACGGGGGAGGUUAUGUGGCAGGGUGUCCAUUUAAAGAUUGUCGUGAACAGUUCUGAACCGCGGUGAAGUGCUUUGUGUUCUGGAUCCCUACAGUAACGUGUGGACUUGCAGAACCUCAAGGCUAGUUCUUUGUAACGACCUGCAGUGUUCACAUCAAGGUCCUUGUCCAUCCAGCCAGCACCUGCUAUGCUGCUGCUGUUGUUCUUGGCUAACAUGACGUUGCCGCGCUGCUAUGGAUGUUUCCAGGUAUUACUGCACUGCUCUUAAACCAAUCACUAUAAUGUCAACUAGUUUCCUAGUAACUUUCUCUCAAGACCUUCUCUUGGCAGCCCUCCCUGCCAAUUAGCUUAAACUAACCUUGAAGUUCACCGUGGUAAUCAUUGAAGAGCCCUGCUAGAAUAUCCUGCAACUCAGCCAAAUGGAUACCUUCCCACAGGGAUUCAGUAACGGUGAUGUAAUAAGUGCCAUGCUGUUUCUGACAAUCAGUUUAUAUGGACCAAUUAGGUUUUUUUUUUUUAUUUGAAAUGUUAAGUAUUAUGCUUUUUUUUCCCAUGGUGUGCUGCAGAGCUGGUGUGGAUUUCAUUGAGUGCUGCAGAGCUGGUGUGGGUUUCAUUGAGUGCUGCAGUUUUAGCUUUCUCUUUUUUUUUUUUUUGUGUGCGGAGGGCUUGUAAAAUAAUUUUAGUAACUUGCUUUACUAUUGAAUCUCUUUCUAAGCAAAAUAUAAUGCAGGUUGCCUAAGUGUUUGAUGAGAUAAUGCAGUUUACAUGAAUGAAAUAAUUGAAGUUGCUAAAACUGUAGCAUGUUAUUUCGUAUGGUUCUUUCAUUGCUUAUUUGCAAAACUGCAUGGCUGUAAACACAGGAGUUAACGGUAAUCACAGACUCACGACUGUACCCUCAGUCACUGGGUCUAAUCAGAAACACUGAUGAAUGAAGUUUUGGGCUGCAUUCCUAGUGUAGGAUUUGAAUCUUUUUUGAUCGUUCAGUUAAUUUUCGGUAAAAAAUACUGUCUGGUGUCUAAAACUUCGAAUAGAUUAACGAGUACUCAAGUAAUUCCCACGCCCUUUCUCCUGUAGAGUGCCAAUACAGUAAUGUGCUCCAUCCCAUUAACAUGAACCAGUUGGUGCUUGUUUUCCACUCUUGCUGUCAAUAUGAAGCGAGUAUUGAGUUGAAUCAUUAGCGUAUUCGCUGACAGUCCCUCCGCCGUGCACUGUCUGAGCACGCUCAGGGUGACAUCGCCCACGGGCAGGCUCACUUUUAUCAUAAGCUCUUGACUUGCUGUGGGGUGUUUCCAGCCUCAUUCCUUUACUAAUAUUAACCACUAACAAACUGGAAUUUAGAAAUGCUAUAUUUUCAAUAACUGAAGUAUCUCGUGUGUUAUAUUUUGUUAGAGACACGUCUGUAUUCUCUUCAUUGUAAGUGAAUAUAGUGCUGUUACACUUCCUUUGAAGUUUUUGUUCCACCUAUUCAGGUGUCUGUUCUUAGUAUUGCAUUGUGGUCCAUUAAGCGAUAGUAAACUGUUACAUACAUGGUUAUUGGAAGUAACCGACAGACACUAUGACACUGUGUUCCUUCUUUCCACUUAAUGUGUGCUGUAGCCGCUUCAAAUACUGCAUCUCGAGUUUCAUGCAUUAUUUUGUACCAAACUGUUUCACCCUUAUUAAAGUCAUUCAUGGGAUUAAUGUUGAAUAUUUUAAGAUGCCUCACGGAGCAGACGGCUGUAGGUUUCUAAAUUGAAUUAAAGAGAUCAUUCCCUCUGCGUGUUGUCGAUGUCGCCCUGUACUGUUUGUGUACCACUGUGUCUCUUCUGUGUCUAGUGUAAGUUUAUUUGGUGCACAAAUCCAGUAUCUCUGUGUUGAAAUCUGGCGUCUGUCUGUUUUCUUCUGGUUCCUUGAUUGAACUGCAAUCAUUGUACAUUGCUAAUAAAUUAUUUUUACCUGUUGACUAAA